GGGGGUGAACGGUCUCGACUUUGGCGGUUGAGAUUGGGGAAGCGGGCCGAGGAAGCCGGGAUGAUCUCGUUAACCAUGAAACCCGUGCAAACAUAUAGCUGCCGAUAAAAAGGCAACUGAUUACACCCUCGCUGCCUAAGCGAGCUCUGUAAUCCGCUAGUCCGAUUGCGCCUUCGGAUCGGGUUCUAGCGUCGCUAGAGGGCUUACUGCGGUGCAUUGUCGUGAGUGCACCAAAGGACAUCAAUCACGACUGAGUCUGUCGAAGACAUGUGCGCGUGAGCUUCGGGACUGAGAAAACGUUUAGCGCACUACGCCCGUAGAAGCCCUUUCUUUGCACCAAAGGACCCGGGUUCGAUUCCCGGCACCUCCACCA
rnacentral:tmRNA from 1 species